GAUGAAGAACGUAGCGAAAUGCGAUACGUAAUGUGAAUUGCAAAUUCAGUGAAUCAUCGAGUCUUUGAACGCACAUUGCGCCCCCUGGUAUUCCGGGGGCAUGCCUGUCCGAGCGUCAUUGCUGCCCUCAAGCACGGCUUGUGUGUUGGGCCCCGUCCUCCGAUCCCGGGGGACGGGCCCGAAAGGCAGCGGCGGCACCGCGUCCGGUCCUCGAGCGUAUGGGGCUUUGUCACCCGCUCUGUAGGCCCGGCCGGCGCUUGCCGAUCAACCCAAAUUUUUAUCCAGGUUGACCUCGGAUCAGGUAGGGAUACCCGCUGAACUUAAGCAUAUCAAUAAGCGGAGGA
rnacentral:misc_RNA from 1 species